ACAAAGCAGAAGAAUCGAUAGGAAAAUGAUCUUCAAUCUUAAGCUGUCACAAGAGAGUUCAGUCUAGCCUCCAUUCUUUUCUCAAAGGUCUAUUUUAAAACCUAAAACAAGUUACAAGUUCUAAUGAAAACAAUAAAAAAUUUGUAAAUAGAAUUCUGACGCUCCCUACAUCGAUGUGGCUACAUCCACAGAGGUGUGGGAGGCGCGUUGGAAGAGAAAAUGAAUGUGAGGUUAAUUCACAAUAGUGUGGCUCAAUCCAUAGAGGUGUGGGAGGCCUACUGAUGGAAACUUUCUUGAGAAGCUUCUAUGGAGGCUGGAUCUUUGAGCUUCAAUGAGGUCCUUCAAUGAUGAUUUUCAACCAUGGAGUUGUAGCAGAAGAUAAAGAGGAGAAGAGGUGAGAGGAGGCGCCAUCCACUAGGAAAUAAGCCAUGGAAGGAGGAGUUUCACCACCAAGAGAGUGUCUUGGAUAAGAAGCUUAGAGAGGGAGCUUCAAUGGAGGAAAAGAAUGAGAGGGGGGGGGGGGGGGGGGGGGGCACGAAAAUGAAGGAGAAAAAGAGGGAGAGAAGUUGAACUUUGAAAUGUGUCUCACAAGACUCUC
rnacentral:lncRNA from 1 species